rnacentral:rRNA from 1 species
GUGAGGUGUCGGCUUAAGUGCCAUAACGAGCGCAACCCCCUUUCCCAGUUGCCAUCGGGUGAUGCCGGGCACUCUGGGGACACUGCCACCGCAAGGUGCGAGGAAGGUGGGGAUGACGUCAAAUCAGCACGGCCCUUACGUCCGGGGCUACACACGUGUUACAAUGGCCGGUACAGAGGGACGGUGUAAUGCAAGUUGCAUCCAAUCUUGAAAUCCGGUCCCAGUUCGGACUGGGGUCUGCAACCCGACCCCACGAAGCUGGAUUCGCUAGUAAUCGCGCAUCAGCCAUGGCGCGGUGAAUACGUUCCCGGGCCUUGUACACACCGCCCGUCAAGCCAUGAAAGCCGGGGGUGCCUGAAGUUCGUGACC